GUAGGUGGCAAGCGUUGUCCGGAAUUAUUGGGCGUAAAGCGCGCGCAGGUGGUUCUUUAAGUCUGAUGUGAAAGCCCCCGGCUCAACCGGGGAGGGUCAUUGGAAACUGGGGAACUCGAGUGCAGGAGAGGAAAGUGGAAUUCCACGUGUAGCGGUGAAAUGCGUAGAUAUGUGGAGGAACACCAGUGGCGAAGGCGACUUUCUGGCCUGUAACUGACACUGAGGCGCGAAAGCGUGGGGAGCAAACAGGGAUUAGAUACCCUGGUAGUCCACGCCGUAAACGAUGAGUGCUAAGUGUUGGGGGGGUUUCCCGCCCCGUCAGUGCUGCAGCUAACGCAUUAAGCACUCCGCCUGGGGAGUACGGUCGCAAGACUG
rnacentral:rRNA from 1 species